GCAAGUCACACGGGUAGCAAUACAAGUGGCAAACGGGUGAGUAAUGCACAGGAAUCUGCCUUUUGGAGGGGAACAACUUGGGGAAACUCAAGCUAAUUCCGCGUAAUGCCGUAAGGUGAAAGCAGCAAUGCGUUAAAAGAUGAGCCUGUGUUUGAUUAGUUUGUUGGUGAGGUAAUGGCUUACCAAGACUACGAUCAAUAGCUGGUUUGAGAAGACGAUC
rnacentral:rRNA from 1 species